rnacentral:rRNA from 1 species
AUUGAACGCUGGCGGCAGGCUUAACACAUGCAAGCCGAGCGGAGAUGAGGUGCUUGCACCUUAUCUUAGCGGCGGACGGGUGAGUAAUGCUUAGGAAUCUGCCUAUUAGUGGGGGACAACAUUCCGAAAGGAAUGCUAAUACCGCAUACGUCCUACGGGAGAAAGCAGGGGAUCUUCGGACCUUGCGCUAAUAGAUGAGCCUAAGUCGGAUUAGCUAGUUGGUGGGGUAAAGGCCUACCAAGGCGACGAUCUGUAGCGGGUCUGAGAGGAUGAUCCGCCACACUGGGACUGAGACACGGCCCAGACUCCUACGGGAGGCAGCAGUGGGGAAUAUCGGACAAUGGGGGGAACCCCGAUCCAGCCAUGCCGCGUGUGUGAAGAAGGCCUUAUGGUUGUAAAGCACUUUAAGCGAGGAGGAGGCUACUGAGACUAAUACUCUUGGAUAGUGGACGUUACUCGCAGAAUAAGCACCGGCUAACUCUGUGCCAGCCGCCGCGGUAACAC